CUCUGUUCACGGAAAGGGCCUGGGAGCUGCAACACCUCAACAGCAACAAGCACACCUGCUACCUAGAACUUGGUUUCUAAAAACCAUCCUCCUCUAAAAGGAAACAGAGCUCUUUGAAGAAACGCAGAAGGUAAGCAUGAGCAAAUUACUUUUUAGAGGUAACUUUGCUGAACUUGUGAAGAAUGGUGUGCAAGGUCCAGAGCGACUGCAGGAGAGGGAAGGUGGGAUUCCCACAGAGCAGGAGCACAGAUAAGCCAAGCAAGGCCCUGCUUGGAAGGCAGCAAUCAACAGAGAUGCACAGACCUGUGAGGGUGCCGGGACAGCCAUGCAACAAUGCAGCCCUUUUGCUUCCUGAGCUCACCAGUUCCCUCGCUCCACCUCUGAGAGGUGGUUUGGAGAAACACAGCCCUUCUCAAGAGGGCUGCAAGAGCAGACCACAAAGAGCAUGUCUGGACCUAGAACCACAGCAUGUAACCUCGGAAGCAGUGAGACACCAGCCAGCAUGGACAAGCAGCAGGCACUUGCUCUAUACCAGAUAGGUCCCACCUCCAGCCUUCCCCUGCUGCCAUCUAACAUCCUAAACUCCAGCUCUGAAUGUCUGUCUCCU
rnacentral:lncRNA from 10 species